UGGGGAAUCUUCCGCAAUGGACGAAAGUCUGACGGAGCAACGCCUCGUGAGUGAUGACGGUCUUCGGAUUGUAAAGCUCUGUUAAUCGGGACGAAUGGUUUGUGUGCAAAUAGUGCAUAGACAUGACGGUACCGGAAUAGAAAGCCACGGCUAACUACGUGCCAGCAGCCGCGGUAAUACGUAGGUGGCAAGCGUUGUCCGGAAUUAUUGGGCGUAAAGCGCGCGCAGGCGGACUAGCCAGUCAGUCUUAAAAGUUCGGGGCUUAACCCCGUGAUGGGAUUGAAACUACUAGUCUAGAGUAUCGGAGAGGAAAGUGGAAUUCCUAGUGUAGCGGUGAAAUGCGUAGAUAUUAGGAAGAACACCAGUGGCGAAGGCGACUUUCUGGACGAACACUGACGCUGAGGCGCGAAAGCCAGGGGAGCGAACGGG
rnacentral:rRNA from 1 species